AUACUUACCUGGCAGGGAAGAGACUAUCCAUCAUCAUGAAGAUGGUUUUCCCAGGGUGAGGCUCAUCUGUUGCACUUCAGAUAUGGUAACCCCUAUGAUUUCCCCAAAUGUGGGAAACUCGACUUAGUAAUUUGUGGUAGUGGAGGACUGUGUUUAUGCUCUCCUCUG
ensembl:snRNA U1 U1 spliceosomal RNA